rnacentral:tRNA from 1 species
GGGACAGGAGCAGUCUGGUAGCUCGUCGGGCUCAUAACCCGAAGGUCGUAGGUUCAAAUCCUGCUCCCGCAA